GCCGCGCGUGUGGGCGGCGGAGGUGGUCCGAGCCCCGGCGCUCUGUUAUGUUGCGAUUAAUUCGUUACUGUCCCUUGUUUUCGUUGUCGCCGUCGGUUGUGUCAGCGAUGUUGCUCUGCUUGCCCCGCGCGGAGGGUCAUGCUGCCCAAAGCCUCUAGCAACACGCACCUCUGUAAUUAUCUCUGCUCCCGCCUACCCGCCGUUGUAAAUCCCUCCCGUGUUUAGAGCAGGAUUAUGGUGAAACGUGUAUGAUAAAUAUUUUUCUCAUGUAGCUUUGAAGUCACGUCAGGGAGGGGAGCGGGAGCAGGGGUGACAGAGGUUUGUGGAGCGGUCCGUGUGCCGGCGCAGGGCGCGAGGGGCGAGCGGCCCCGCCCGGCCGCGCCUCCGUCCUCCCCCUCAGCACCCUCAGGGCCGUCACCCUCCCGAGCCGGCGUGAGGGGAAGCCGGGCCCCCUCCCUUGACGGCUGCCCCUCAUCGGGCAUUUUGGUCAUUUUGCAUUUAGCCCACGUUAAUUUUUGAGUGCUCCUACCCUCGAGGAGGUGGUUUAUGAUCGUUGCUGUGCGUGGGUUUCCGAAGGGUGGGGCUGUUGUCCUGAACGUUACCCAUCACGCAGCACCAACUCGCACACUGAGGCGAGCUCCUGUGGUCACCCUGCUGCAUGGGGCACAGCCCUGACGGAGAAUACUUUUCCUGAGUCAGCCAUCUGGGGAGAGUUUUGAGCUGUAAAUGGGCAUCUUUCACUGAGAAAGGAGCUCCUACACGCUUCUUUUACCAACAAUACCGGUAACCACAGGAGAAAAAAAGAAGAAAGUAGGAGCGAGGGGAAGAAAACAACGAAAGAAUUUUGCAAAUCCUUCUGAUCUGAAGCACCAGGCAUAAAGCAACAAGGAAAAUACUGAUUGGUUAGGGAUGCUGUAUAUAAGAAACCCAAGAGGACUGGGUGAUGGGGCAUGUCUGGAUGCUGUUAGUUCAUCCAUAUGUAAACAGGAGAACUUCAACUUAUUCCCCCACUACGUACUGCAAACAAAUUACCCAUCAGCAGCUUUCAAGAUGACAAGAAUUUUGACAGCUUGCAAAGUGGUGAAGACUUUGAAAGGCAAAUUGAAGUUUUGCAAUAUGUCUGCUGAUCACUGGAGUUUCUCAAGGACAGGUCCCAGGCUGUUGAGCAUCAAGGCGCAGACAGCGAACUUGGUGCUGGAAGAUGGGACGAAGAUGAAGGGCUAUUCUUUUGGCUAUCCAUCCUCCACAGCAGGGGAAGUCGUGUUCAACACUGGGCUCUCUGGAUACACCGAAGCCUUGACAGAUCCCAGCUACAAAGGACAGAUUCUUACCCUGGCUAACCCCAUAGUUGGGAAUGUUGGAGUGCCUGACACAGCCACUUUGGAUGAAAUGGGCCUCAAGAGGUUUUUGGAGUCUGAUGGGAUCAAGGUUUCAGGUUUGCUGGUGCUGGACUACAGCAAAGAGUACAGCCACUGGCAAGCUGCUAGGAGCCUGGGGGAAUGGUUGCAAGAGGAACAGGUGCCUGCACUGUAUGGGAUUGACACUAGAAUGCUGUCCAAAUUAAUUCGUGACAAGGGCACAGUACUUGGGAAGAUUGAAUUUGAAGGUCAACCUGUGGAGUUUGCAGACCCAAAUAAACAAAACUUAAUUGCAGAAGUUUCUACAAAGGAAGUCAAAGUUUAUGGCAGAGGGAAUCCAAUUAAAGUUGUAGCUGUCGACUGUGGGUUGAAGCACAACAUUAUCCGUCUGCUAGUUAAGCGAGGUGCAGAAGUACAUUUAGUUCCAUGGGAUCAUGAUUUCACCAGCAUGGAUUACGAUGGGCUCAUAAUUUCUGGGGGACCAGGGGAUCCCAUGAAGGCCCAGGAGGUGAUUCAGAAUGUCAGAAAGGUUCUGGAGAGUGAUCGCCCAGAGCCCCUGUUUGGAAUUAGCAUGGGGCAUCUAAUCACUGGAAUAGCAGCUGGAGCUACUUCCUACAAGAUGCAGAUGGCCAACAGAGGCCAGAACCAGCCCGUCCUGAAUGCAGUGAAUGGACAGGCUGUCAUCACUGCUCAGAACCACGGCUAUGCCAUUGACAGCUCUACCCUCUCAUCUGGCUGGAAGCCUCUCUUUGUGAAUGCCAAUGACCAAACCACUGAGGGAAUUAUGCAUGAGACCAGACCAAUUUUCACAGCACAGUUCUAUCCAGAUGCAAAUCCUGGGCCGAGGGACACAGAGUUCCUUUUUGAUUCUUUUAUUUCCCUGGUUAAGAGUGGGAAAGGCAGUACCAUUUCCUCAAUUCUGCCCAGGGCUGGAGUGACUGCUUCCAGAGUAGAGGUCUCCAAAGUUCUCAUUCUAGGAUCCGGGGGUCUGUCGAUUGGUCAGGCAGGGGAAUUUGAUUACUCUGGAUCCCAGGCUGUAAAAGCCAUGAAGGAAGAAAAUGUGAAAAUUGUCCUCAUGAAUCCCAAUAUUGCUUCAGUGCAGACCAAUGAGACUGGCUUAAAGCAGGCUGAUGCUGUCUACUUCCUCCCCAUCACUCCACAGUUUGUCAUAGAGGUCAUCAAGGCUGAGCGUCCCGAUGGAAUAAUUCUGGGCAUGGGUGGCCAGACUGCUCUCAACUGUGGAGUGAAACUCUUCAAGCAAGGAGUCCUGCAGCAGUAUGGUGUGAAGGUUCUAGGUACAUCAGUUGAAGCCAUCAUGGCUACAGAGGAUAGAAAGCUCUUUUCUGAUAAACUGACUGAGCUAAAUGAAAAGAUUGCUCCUAGCUUUGCAGUGGAAUCGGUUGAAGAGGCUCUGAAGGCAGCUGAAAACAUUUGCUUCCCAGUCAUGAUACGUUCUGCCUAUGCCCUUGGUGGUUUGGGGUCAGGCAUAUGUCCUGAUAAGGAAAGUUUGCUGGACCUUGGUACAAAGGCAUUUGCAAUGACUAACCAAAUUCUGGUGGAAAAGUCCGUCGUUGGCUGGAAGGAGAUAGAAUAUGAAAUUGUGAGAGAUGCUGCUGAUAACUGUAUUGCUGUCUGCAAUAUGGAAAACAUUGAUGCUAUGGGAGUCCACACAGGAGAUUCUGUUGUAGUGGCUCCAAGCCAGACACUCACUAAUGAGGAGUUUCAGAUGCUGAGGGAUCGUGCCAUCAAAGUUGUCCGACAUUUGGAUAUUGUGGGAGAGUGUAAUAUCCAGUUUGCUCUUCAUCCAACUUCCCUGGAGUACUACAUUAUUGAAGUUAAUGCCAGACUCUCGAGAAGUUCAGCUUUGGCCUCCAAGGCGACAGGGUAUCCAUUAGCCUUCAUUGCUGCCAAAAUUGCCCUGGGGAUUCCCUUGCCAGAAAUCAAGAACGUUGUGACAGGAAAAACCUCUGCCUGUUUUGAGCCCAGCCUCGAUUACAUUGUUACCAAAAUACCCCUCUGGGAUUUGGACCGUUUUCAACAUACAUCCAGCCGGAUUGGAAGCUCCAUGAAGAGUGUGGGGGAGGUCAUGGCUAUUGGACGCACUUUUGAAGAGAGCUUUCAAAAGGCCCUGAGGAUGUGCCACCCCUCAGUAGAUGGCUUCACUUCACGUCUGCCUAUGAAUAAAGUCUGGCCAGCCAUCGUAGAUCUCCAGAAGGAGCUUUCUGAGCCAACCAGCACUCGAAUAUAUGCAAUAGCCAAGGCCUUGGAUAACAAAGUCCCUGUGGAUGUCAUUCACAAACUCACGGCCAUUGACAAGUGGUUCCUGUAUAAGAUGCACAGCAUUGUGAACGUGGAGAAGAUCUUGAAGGAAGUGAACAGUGAAACAGUUCCAGAAGAGACACUGAGAAGAGCCAAACAGAUGGGGUUCUCUGACAAACAGAUUGGGAAAUGCCUGAGAUUGACUGAAGCCCAGUGCCGUCAGCUGAGGCUGAGGAAGAACAUAGUACCCUGGGUGAAACAGAUUGACACACUGGCAGCAGAAUACCCAGCAGUGACUAAUUACCUCUACAUCACGUACAACGGGCAGGAACAUGAUGUAAAAUUUGAUGACUGUGGAGUGAUGGUGUUGGGCUGUGGACCAUAUCACAUAGGCAGUAGCGUGGAGUUUGACUGGUGUGCUGUUUCCAGUAUCCGCACGCUGCGUCAGCUUGGCAACAGGACUGUCGUGGUGAAUUGCAACCCGGAGACAGUGAGCACAGAUUUUGAUGAGUGUGACAGACUGUACUUUGAGGAGCUGUCAUUGGAAAGGAUCUUGGACAUCUACCAAUAUGAGGAAUGCAGUGGCUGCAUUAUUUCAGUAGGAGGGCAGAUUCCCAAUAACUUGGCAGUGCCACUUCACCAGAGUGGAGUGAAGAUCCUUGGCACAAAUCCUCUGCAGAUUGACCAGGCAGAAGAUCGCUCCAUAUUCUCAGCUGUUCUGGAUGAGCUGCAUGUGGCCCAGGCUCCCUGGAAGGCUGUGAACACACUGAGAGACGCAGUUGAAUUUGCAAGCUCAGUGAGUUACCCAUGUUUACUGAGGCCCUCCUAUGUUCUGAGUGGGACCUCAAUGAAUGUGGUAUUCACUGAAGAGGAAAUGAAGAAUUUGUUAGCAGAAGCCACCAGAGUCUCUCAGGAUCACCCUGUGGUGCUCACUAAAUUUAUUGAAAAUGCCCGUGAGGUGGAAAUGGAUGCUGUAGCUAAGGCAGGAAGAGUUAUUUCCCAUGCUAUUUUGGAGCAUGUGGAGGAUGCAGGUGUUCACUCUGGAGAUGCCACCCUCAUGUUACCCACACAGACCAUUAGCCAGGGAGCCUUGGAAAAGGUAAAAUCUGCUACAAAAAAAAUUGCAAAUGCCUUUGCCAUCUCUGGUCCGUUCAACAUCCAGUUCUUGGUGCGAGGUAACGAUGUGCUGGUGAUAGAGUGCAACUUGCGGGCUUCACGUUCCUUCCCCUUUGUAUCGAAGACUCUGGGCGUGGACUUCAUUGAUGUGGCCACUAAAGUGAUGAUUGGAAAAGGGGUUAAUGAGUCAUCCCUCCCCACACUGGAACAUCCUAUUAUUCCAUCCAAAUAUGUUGGGAUUAAGGCCCCAGUGUUCUCCUGGUCCCGGCUGAGAGAUGCUGACCCUGUUCUCCGAUGUGAAAUGGCCUCUACUGGGGAGGUCGCAUGCUUCGGGGAGAACGUGUAUUCUGCUUUCCAGAAGGCUAUACUUGCCACAGGGUUUACAUUUCCUAAGGAAGGAAUUUUGAUUGGAAUCCAGAAGUCCUUCCGCCCCAGGUUCCUCAGCAUAGCAGAACUAUUGCAUGAGGAAGGGUUUAAGCUUUAUGCCACAGAAGGAACCUCAUACUGGCUCAAUGCUAAUGGUAUCCCAGCAAAUCCUGUGGCAUGGCCAUCGCAGGAAAGCCAGAGUUCAAGCCUCCCUUCCAUCAGGAGGCUGGUGAGGGAUGGGAAAAUAGAUCUGGUGAUUAACCUGCCCAACAGCAACACCAAGUUUGUCCAUGAUAAUUAUGUGAUUCGGAGGAUGGCUAUUGACAGCGGGAUUGCUCUUCUCACUAACUUCCAGCUCAUUUGGAUAUCCAAACACCUGAUGCCUCAGCAAUAGUGCCUCUUGAGGAGUAUCUCCUGUGCAGUUUUCAAGUGGACAGCAAAACAUGGCUGUUAGAGCUUUGCACAGGUAUGUAAAUUGUGCCUCUAACAGUGCUUCACCUUCCCUGCUCGGUGCUAAGGACUACUAGCAUUAUCCAAAGGAGUGAUGUGCUGUUCAGUCUGUACACCCAGCAUGCCACAGGGGGCCAGGAAAAAUGAAACAUACUGGAGAAGGGGAGCAUGGAAAUUGAGGAAAAUCAGCAUGGUCUUCAAUAGACUAUUUUGUUUUGUUUGUGUUCAGGAUAACCUCUGUCCCUCAGUAAUAUGAGAAUCUCCCGCAACCCUGGAGGAGGUGCUCAUGUCUGCAGUUUCUGAACCUGGGUGGUGGUGAGCAAGAGGAUUUAUAUCACAGCAUGGUGUGUUGAGUUACUCAGACAUGAGGAUGUGCCUUCCAUGCCCUCAAGCAGAGUUAGAUAAGUGGUUUGACCUCCAUUUGCUUCAACCUGCAAGACUGUUCCUUGAUCCCUCACAUCGUGGAUGUGCCGAAAAGGCUGAAAGUCCACUUUUUUUGUGUGUGUUCACGGAAAAGAUGAAAGGAAAACAAGAAAAGGAAAAAGUGCUUUAUAAUUUGCAGUCCUGGGAGUUGCACAUUGCAGAUCUUCGUAUAUGUUCUUUUAGAAAAAUGUGCAAAUGUGUCUCUUCUUCAUUUGGCAGACAAAAAGGCUGCCUUGUACUGUACCUCUCAUGGAAGACUUCAAUUUGAAUGGGGCUAGUCUAACAGGGCAAAGAGCCAAACCAGUACGUAAUCAUACAGUGGGAAAAUUUUGAGUAACAGCAAUGGUCAUUGUUAAUCAAAGACUGUUAUCACUGGAAAAAUGGAGGUCAGUGACUUAAGAGCAUCUUGCAGAAAAGGUUCGGAGCAAGUGCUGUUGGCCCAAAGUACCCCUUUGGUAGGCUCACAGGGGUCGGUCCCCACCAUGUGACAGGUUUUCAUGUUGCUUCUCUUUAAUUUUUCUUUUCAGAGCAGGAGCCAAAACCGAGAGCUGUGAAUGUGCAGAAGUGGACACUGAUAACACCCAUCCCACCUGCACGGUGAAGGUUUGUGCCAGUGACAACUACGAGAAGAGCUGUUUUCUUGGGUGGUUUCAGGGGCUAUCUACACCCAAAGAAAGGCAAGAUAAAUCUAAAGUUUCUGUUGUCAUUAGUGGUAUGGGUGAAGAACAAAUGCUUCUUUGAGAGCAAUCUUUUCUGGAUUUGCAAAGGGGCUAUGGCAGUGACCACCUCCUCUCUAUACAUCUGAUGUGGCAGGACUGAUAUUAGUACCUCCCUACUUUCUCCAAAAUCUGGGAUACAACAAAACCCUACUGGCAUGCCCUGGUGAGGUCUAAGCCCUCUCUUAACAGGCAGUCAGGGCAUGGUGAUGGUUGGGUUUGCUGUCUGUCAUCCCAGUGCAGUAUUCCAGGGUCUUGCUGCAGGUUUGCCAAGGAGUGUUGCACAGCAGGUGAAUUUUGACAGAAUGGUAUGAAAACCAAGAAGAUAUCUCUGCUGUUCAGUGAGUUAAAAAACGUAUUGAAAUUCAGGGCAAUCUCUUCUCAUCUCUUCUCACCCAGCUUUCAGGUCUCAUAAUAGGUAAUUUAAGCACAAUAGGGUGUGUUGUGGUUUAACCCCAACCCAGCGGCGCGUGGUGGGAUGGGGAAUAGUAACUGAGGAAACGUCUGGGUUUCUGAUUUUUCCCUCUGCUGUCAAAGUUGCAAGGAGCAGCAGGAGACAUAGCCCGUCUGUUGUGUUAUGGAUGUCACUCCUCUAGACUAAUCCCAAGUUACUGUAGAUACCAUUUGAAACUAUUAAACAAUAGCUUCUAAAAUAUCCACCUACUCCUCCUCUUUUUGUCUUUAUUAAAGGCUAUAGAAUAAUUCUAAUUUGACAGGAAACAUGCUGCAUUUUUUCUCCACUCUAUUUGACUGAAGUGAAGCUGCUUCCCUGCACAAAGGUACUCACCUCUGAAUAGUUUGCUAUUCUGAGACAUGUUAAAUUUGGAGUCAAACUUAUUUUAACUGUUGCAGUCUCAGAGAGUCACCUGGUAGUUCUUCCAUGCCACUAAAUCUCAAUGGGGUUUUGCCCCACCUACCAACAGAGACACAGAACAGUAUGUGGAUUCCAACAAAAUACGAAGGUAAUCAGUUGAAUGAAUUAGG